CAGUAGCCGCGGGAAUACGAAGGGGGCUAGCGUUGCUCGGAAUCACUGGGCGUAAAGGGUGCGUAGGCGGGUCUUUAAGUCAGGGGUGAAAUCCUGGAGCUCAACUCCAGAACUGCCUUUGAUACUGAAGAUCUUGAGUUCGGGAGAGGUGAGUGGAACUGCGAGUGUAGAGGUGAAAUUCGUAGAUAUUCGCAAGAACACCAGUGGCGAAGGCGGCUCACUGGCCCGAUACUGACGCUGAGGCACGAAAGCGUGGGGAGCAAGCAGGAUUAGAUACCCCGGUAGUCCCUGUCUCUUAUAC
rnacentral:rRNA from 1 species